rnacentral:rRNA from 1 species
UGGGGAAUUUUGGACAAUGGGCGAAAGCCUGAUCCAGCAAUGCCGCGUGUGUGAAGAAGGCCUUCGGGUUGUAAAGCACUUUUGUCCGGAAAGAAAUCCUUGGCUCUAAUACAGUCGGGGGAUGACGGUACCGGAAGAAUAAGCACCGGCUAACUACGUGCCAGCAGCCGCGGUAAUACGUAGGGUGCAAGCGUUAAUCGGAAUUACUGGGCGUAAAGCGUGCGCAGGCGGUUUGCUAAGACCGAUGUGAAAUCCCCGGGCUCAACCUGGGAACUGCAUUGGUGACUGGCAGGCUAGAGUAUGGCAGAGGGGGGUAGAAUUCCACGUGUAGCAGUGAAAUGCGUAGAGAUGUGGAGGAAUACCGAUGGCGAAGGCAGCCCCCUGGGCCAAGUACUGACGCUCAUGCACGAAAAGCGUGGGGGAGCAAAACAGGAUUAGAUACCCUGGUAGUCCACGCCCUAAACGAUGUCAACUAGUUGUUGGGGAUUCAUUUCCUUAGUAACGUAGCUAACGCGUGAAGUUGACCGCCUGGGGGAGUACGGUCGCAAGAUUAAAACUCAAAUAAUUGACGGGGUCAU